rnacentral:rRNA from 1 species
GAUGAACGCUAGCGGCAGGCCUAAUACAUGCAAGUCGAACGGGAUCCAGAUCAAAGCUUGCUUUGGUCUGGUGAGAGUGGCGCACGGGUGCGUAACGCGUGAGCAACCUACCCUUGUCAGGGGGAUAGCCCGGCGAAAGUCGGAUUAAUACCGCAUGACAUCAUUGAGAGGCAUCUUUCGAUGAUCAAAGAUUUAUCGGACAAGGAUGGGCUCGCGUGACAUUAGCUAGUUGGUAAGGUAACGGCUUACCAAGGCUGCGAUGUCUAGGGGCUCUGAGAGGAGAAUCCCCCACACUGGUACUGAGACACGGACCAGACUCCUACGGGAGGCAGCAGUAAGGAAUAUUGGUCAAUGGACGGAAGUCUGAACCAGCCAUGCCGCGUGCAGGAAGACGGCCCUAUGGGUUGUAAACUGCUUUUAUACGGGAACAAACGUCGGUACGUGUACCGGUCUGAGUGUACCGUAAGAAUAAGGAUCGGCCAACUCCGUG